CCGGCCGUCCAACGCUGCCCAGUCCUCUGGAGAACCCGUCGUCCGGUGCACGCCGUCCGUCGUCCGGCCGUCCAACGCUGCCCAGUCCUCUGGAGAACCCGUCGUCCGGCGCACCCGUCGUCCGCCGUCCAACGCUGCCCAGUCCUCUGGAGAACCCGUCGUCCGUCGUGCGUCGUCCGUCGUCCGCAGUCCGUCGUCCGGUGCUUCCAACGCUGCCCAGUCCUCCGAGUUCUGAAAUUUGCCUCCGGUCAGUGACGUCGCCGGCUCCGUCGUCCGGUGCUUCUGUCGUCCAGCGCUUCCCUCUCUCUCUCUGAAAUCUCUCUCCGUACAGAUCUGCUCUCCGGUCAGAUCUCUUGGCGGUAGGCGUCCUCCGUCGUCCGGCGUCCCCACCGGGUAGAAGUCCCUUCUGAGGAUGUUGUGGAGGUUGUUGUAAGCCCUCCGUUUGUGUUUCUUCCUCUGGUGAAAAGCUUAUUGCGAUCGGAUUUCCAUGUUGCCGCCCAGAACUGUUGGGUUCGCAAAGGUGGUGCUUUUACUGGAGAGAUUAGUGCUGAGAUGCUUGUCAAUUUGAUCAUUCCUUGGGUCAUCCUUGGUCAUUCUGAAAGAAGAUCUCUUUUGAGCGAGUGAAGUGAGUUUGUUGGAGACAAAGUUCUCCACAAUAUAAUCGGUGGAAUUAGAUCCGGUAGAUUUAGCGGCCGGAUCUGUCUCCGGCGACGCCCAUAAAAAAGGAUCUCUCUCUCUUUGGCCGGAUCUGUUGCCACCAAGACCCAUCGACCGUCACCCAUCGGAGCAACCCCCUCCCUCUCUCUCGCCGUGUUCCUGUUUACCAUUUAAUUUCCAAGGAUCAUCAACUCUGUUCUGUUGCUAGGAGCGCUAUUAUGUAGAGAGGAAUUUGUUGGGGUAUUGUACGACCAAGGUAA